rnacentral:tRNA from 1 species
GGGUAGGUACCGAAGCGGUCAAACGGGUCUGGCUGUAAACCAGAUGGCUCUGCCUUCGGGGGUUCGAAUCCCUCCCUGCCCACCA